AAAAAAAAAAAGUUGUUUGAAAUAAAAUGUGGUCAUAUUUGUAAUCCGUGUAUUUGGAGGAUGAAGAGUGUAAAAGGGAAAAAAAAUUCUAGGAUCAAAUGACCGUAAUAAUAAAAUGGUUUAAAGAACGGACUUUUACUUAAUCUUUUUUUUUUUAAUAAGAGUAUGACGGAGAUCAAUUUAACAUUGUUUAACUCCUUUCUGUAAAUUUACUUUAUAAAAGACUCUGUUAAAAAAAUGCUGUCAAAUGAGGUAUCUUGUUUAAAACUACUAUCAAUUUUCAAACUUAAUCAAAAAAGAACUAGAUGCUCAAAAAAUAUAGUAGGAUAUGGCGGAGUGUUUAGAGCAAUAUUCACUAAAUAUAACAGAUCAGUACGUCUGAUUUACAUUUUUCAACAGUAGAAAGUUAAUUUAAUUUGCCGAUAGACGAUAUUACUUAUGGUCUACCAAACUGCUCAAUCCACCCCAACAGUAAAGCAAGUGUGUGGGGGCAGUUUGAACAAUGCACGAACAAAUGUAUAUGCAUUAAGUGAGACUAGUUUUCUGUCAUCCGUAUUUUUAGCAAGUUUUUAAAUUAUCACAAUGUGGAGAAGCUACGUUUAGCAUUGACAACACUUACAGGAAAUGACUUAAUAAUUUGAAAAAACUUAUGAAUGAUUGAAUAUUUCAACAGUAAAAAUAAAUCAAAAACAAUAGAAAGAUCAGUAGGCAGUGAUGUGAUUCCUCCAUCGUUCUUUAUCCUUAUGCAUUUGCGCUGCCAUAGUUUAACUUUCGAUGUAAAUUCAGGUACAGGAAAAUUUGUUCAUGGCCAACACCAGCACAUCAAGAACAAGAGUAUAAAUUGAUCGCCCGUAAUACUUUUAUGUUGUUUUUAAAGGUAUACAUUGACUGUAAAACUACCAUCUUUUUUAUUUAUUGUUUUUUCUGCUGUUCUAAAAACUUCCUUAAACACUUCUAUAUAGUUUUCACUUUUUUGUUUUAAAGUGAAAACACUUCUUCGUAGGUUUCACUUUAAAACAAAUAACCUUAUUUUUAAUUAUCUUUUUUGCGAUAUUUUACUUUUUGUAAACCUCAACUUUUUUUGAAACAACUGACUGAGCCCAUUUGUUAGAGAAGCUGUGCAGCACAGCUUAAAGACACAAUAAAAUCAUUUUCUCUAAUUUACAAUAAUAAAACUCUUCCUUUUAAGGAAGAUGUUCUGUCAUUUAGUUUAGAUAUACUUUCCAGUGCAUCAAUUGUUUAUGAAACCUCAUCAUUAAACGUUCAUGUCUCUCAACUCAUCGUGUUUUUUAGAGUGAAAGCAGUUGCGGAUUAUCAUUUAUAAUAAAAUAUAAUUUUGCAGAAGAAUUGAAAAAACCAAAAACUUUUGCCAAUAACACCUAAAUAAUUAUGAAUUUGAAAAUGAUCUAAAAAGUUAUAUAAAUAAUGGGUUUGCUGAAAAAAUCUAAAAAUCUCCCACCCUGCCCUUACUUGAUGAUCUGGAUCCGUCCCUGCUCCAAGCCAUCUUUAUCCAUUUGAUUUUUUGUCAUGCAUUGCGUAGUUUAUAAGAUAACUAACUUGCUAAAUUUGCCCUUAUGCUCAACUAGCCCUUAAUGGAAUCUUUUUUUUUCUUUUUCUUUUUCUUUUAGGUGUCCCAAGAAGACCUAACGAUCUUGUCACAGAGCACUGCGGAAGAGCAUUUAACUAGAAGAUUUACACCUCCUUGUUUACCAAUGGAACGAAAUAUGCCCAGUGCUUAUAAAACAAGCGCUCUAAUCACUGUGCCUCGGUCGCUCUAAUCUGUUUUUCCAUAUAAAGAAAAGUUCUCCUAAAAUCUAAUAAGUUAAACGCUCUAACCACAGCAGAGACUAUUUUUAGUCAUAUGGUUAUACUUCAAUUUAUUUUUGAAUAGAAUAAUGCAUAUCACAGUAACAAUAUUUAUUUUAUCAUUUUGUCAAAUAUGAAUAUUCUUAAACUGA